UCUCUCUCUCUCUCUCUCUCUCUCUCCGUGUGGGUAAAAAUCUCUCUUUUUCUUGCUGGGUCGUUGAAGGCUUCUUUGAUGGAGCUUUGAGCUUCUUUUGUCAGGAAAAGCGCUCAAUUUGAUUAAAGUUUUGUUCUUUGCUUUCUGGGUUUCCUUCCAACCUUGGUGCAGAGAGAAAUGGCACAACGUUCACAUGUGCCAAAGUUUGGCAAUUGGGAAAGUGAAGAGAAUGUUCCUUACACAGCCUACUUUGAAAAGGCUCGAAAGGGUCGAGGUGGGGGGAAGAUGAUAAAUCCAAAUGAGCGCUUUUCUUAAGCUCUGAUUAUGCAGCUCCAGCUCAAGUUCCCCCUUCUGGAGGCAGAGUUUUAUCAGAGGAACCAACAGGGCAGGGAGCUGUUAGACAAGCACAUGAGCGUCAAAGGAGCAGGGAAGAUGGUGAGCUCAGACGGUUUACUGAGUCUCCAGCACGCCAUGAUAACGUGAAUCGGAGAGCUAGCAAUGAGCCAGCACCCCAGCGUUAUGGUGGCCGUGGAGUAAGCUAUGGUGAAACCCACAGACGAACUGGAAUACAAAGCGUACAAAGCAUUGGGUCAGAUAACAGCAUGGAGCAUUCCCCACUCCAUCAUAAGGCCAAGAUCUCUGGGAGAGGUAGUGGGGCUCCAUCUCCUGCUUGGGAAGGAAAAGGUUCAUCUGACAGUAGCUAUGGUACUCCUGGAAGAUCCCGGUUGAAACCAAAAGGCGAUGAAAGUCCUGAUAAGGGUGCUGCUGUUCCUAAAUUUGGUGAGUGGGAUGAGAAUAACCCCGCAUCAGCUGAUGGCUAUACUCACAUUUUCAACAAAGUGAGGGAGGAAAGGCAAAUUGAGGCAGGUAAAGUGCCUGGCAUGCCAACUGAGUCAUCUAUGAGCAAUGCUCGCAAGCAAACCCCCAGC
rnacentral:misc_RNA from 1 species